rnacentral:rRNA from 1 species
AUGACGGAGAAAUCGCUCCAGCCUCCAGGGGCCAUCGCCGGAGCUCCGGCGAUCUUCCAGCGGCAAGCAAUGGCCGGAGCAGGAGAAGAUGACGACGAAGCAGCCGCUCCUCCUCCUCCCGCCUCCCCCUCACACUCUGGCGAGGCAACCCACCACUUGGACGAUGAGGCGGCGGAGCAGAGCACCAACCACGAGCCGUCCUUGCGGAUGGAGAACCUUCCUCGCCUGGGCAGCCAAAUGCCGAUAACGGAGUUCUUCAACUUACCCGCUGUUUGGAUAUUGUGCCCCGACUGGAGACGUUGCAUUUGGAUAUGGUAUAUCUGA